rnacentral:rRNA from 1 species
UACAGAGGGUGCGAGCGUUGUCCGGAAUCACUGGGCGUAAAGGGCGCGUAGGUGGCGACCCAAGUCGAUGGUGAAAGCUCGCCGCUCAACGGCGAGUCGGCCACCGAUACUGGGUUGCUGGAGCACUGUAGAGGCAGAUGGAAUUCCGGGUGUAGCGGUGGAAUGCGUAGAGAGUCCGGAAGAACACCGGUGGCGAAGGCGGUCUGCUGGGCAGUUGC